GGGCUUGUGGUUUAGUGGUAUAAUACUCCCUUAGCAUCUGAUGGUCUUCUCAAGAAGCUGAUGAGAAAAUGGGAGUGGUCCGGGGUUCGAUUCCCCGCGAGUCCA